rnacentral:rRNA from 1 species
ACGGAGGAUGCGAGCGUUAUCCGGAUUUAUUGGGUUUAAAGGGUGCGUAGGCGGUUUGAUAAGUCAGCGGUGAAAUCGUUCAGCUUAACUGAAAGAGGGCCGUUGAUACUGUCAGGCUUGAAUAUGGUUGAGGUAGGUGGAAUGUGUGGUGUAGCGGUGAAAUGCUUAGAUAUUACGAAGAAUACCGAUUGCGAAGGCAGCUUACUGAGCCAUUAUUGACGCUGAUGCACGAAAGUGUGGGGAUCAAACAG